rnacentral:rRNA from 1 species
AGUGAACGCUGGCGGUAGGCCUAACACAUGCAAGUCGAACGGCAGCACAGUAAGAGCUUGCUCUUACGGGUGGCGAGUGGCGGACGGGUGAGGAAUACAUCGGAAUCUACUUUUUCUGGGGGGAUAACGUAGGGAAACUUACGCUAAUACCGCAUACGACCUACGGGUGAAAGCAGGGGAUCUUCGGACCUUGCGCGAUUGAAUGAGCCGAUGUCGGAUUAGCUAGUUGGCGGGGUAAAGUCCCACCAAGGCGACGAUCCGUAGCUGGUCUGAGAGGAUGAUCAGCCACACUGGAACUGAGACACGGUCCAGACUCCUACGGGAGGCAGCAGUGGGGAAUAUUGGACAAUGGGCGCAAGCCUGAUCCAGCCAUACCGCGUGGGUGAAGAAGGCCUUCGGGUUGUAAAGCCCUUUUGUUGGGAAAGAAAAGCAGCAGGUUAAUACCCCGCUGUUCUGACGGUACCCAAAGAAUAAGCACCGGCUAACUUCGUG